GCUAAGAAUAUUCCGCAAUGGACGAAAGUCUGACGGAGCGACGCCGCGUGGAUGAGGAAGGCCGAAAGGUUGUAAAGUCCUUUUGUCGAUGAAGAAUAAGUGGUGGAGGGAAUGCCAUCAUGAUGACGUUAGUCGGCGAAUAAGCCCCGGCUAAUUACGUGCCAGCAGCCGCGGUAACACGUAAGGGGCAAGCGUUGUUCGGAAUUAUUGGGCGUAAAGGGUACGUAGGCGGUUAUGUAAGCCCGGCGUGAAAUCCUGCAGCUUAACUGUAGAGCUGCGCUGGGAACUGCGUAACUUGAGUCAUGGAAGGGAAGUUAGAAUUCCAGGUGUAGGGGUGAAAUCUGUAGAUAUCUGGAAGAAUACCGGUGGCGAAGGCGAACUUCUGGCCAAUGACUGACGCUGAGGUACGAAAGUGCGGGGAGCAAACAGGAUUAGAAACCCCGGUAGUCC
rnacentral:rRNA from 1 species